GAUGAACGCUGGCGGCGUGCCUAAUACAUGCAAGUCGAGCGAACAGACGAGGGGCUUGCUCCUCUGACGUUUGCGGCGGGCGGGGGAGGAACACGUGGAUAACCUACCUAUAAGACUGGGAUAACUUCGGGAAAACGGAGCUAAUACCGGAUAAUAUAUUGAACCGCAUGGUUCAAUAGUUAAAGACGGUUUUGCUUUCACUUAUAGAUUGAUCCGCGCCGCAUUAGCUAGUUGGUAAGGUAACGGCUUACCAAGGCAACGAUGCGUAGCCGACCUGAGAGGGUGAUCGGCCACACUGGAACUGAGACACGGUCCAGACUCCUACGGGAGGCAGCAGUAGGGAAUCUUCCGCAAUGGGCGAAAGCUUGACGGAGCAACGCCGCGUGAGUGAUGAAGGUCUUCGGAUCGUAAAACUCUGUUAUUAGGGAAGAACAAAUGUGUAAGUAACUAUGCACGUCUUGACGGUACCUAAUCAGAAAGCCACGGCUAACUACGUG
rnacentral:rRNA from 1 species